UCCGGAUUUAUUGGGNGUAAAGGGAGCGCAGGCGGUCAGGAAANUCUGGAGUAAAAGGCUAUGGCUCAACCAUAGUGUGCUCUGGAAACUNUCUGACUUGAGUGCAGAAGGGGAGAGUGGAAUUCCAUGUGUAGCGGUGAAAUGCGUAGAUAUAUGGAGGAACACCAGUGGCGAAAGCGGCUCUCUGGUCUGUCACUGACGCUGAGGCUCGAAAGCGUGGGUAGCGAACAGGAUUAGAUACCCUGGUAGUCCACGCCGUAAACGAUGAGUGCUAGGUGUUAGGCCCUUUCCGGGGCUUAGUGCCGGAGCUAACGCAAUAAGCACUCCGCCUGGGGAGUACGACCGCAAGGUUGAAACUCAAAGGAAUUGACGGGGGCCCGCACAAGCGGUGGAGCAUGUGGUUUAAUUCGAAGCAGCGCGAAGAACCUUACCAGGUCUUGACAUCCCGAUGCUAUUCUUAGAGAUAGGAAGUUACUUCGGUACAUCGGAGACAGGUGGUGCAUGGUUGUCGUCAGCUCGUGUCGUGAGAUGUUGGGUUAAGUCCCGCAACGAGCGCAACCCUUAUUGUUAGUUGCCAUCAUUAAGUUGGGCACUCUAGCGAGACCGCCGGUAAUAAACCGGAGGAAGGUGGGGAUGACGUCAAAUCAUCAUGCCCCUUAUGACCUGGGCUACACACAUGCUACAAUGGUCGGUACAACGAGUUGCGAGCCGGUGACGGCAAGCUAAUCUCUGAAAGCCGAUCUCAGUUCGGAUUGGAGGCUGCAACU
rnacentral:rRNA from 1 species